CUUAGUGGCGGACGGGUGAGUAACGCGUGGGUAACCUGCCUUAUACAGGGGGAUAACAACCAGAAAUGGUUGCUAAUACCGCAUAAGCGCACAGGACCGCAUGGUCCGGUGUGAAAAACUCCGGUGGUAUAAGAUGGACCCGCGUUGGAUUAGCUAGUUGGCAGGGCAACGGCCUACCAAGGCGACGAUCCAUAGCCGGCCUGAGAGGGUGAACGGCCACAUUGGGACUGAGACACGGCCCAGACUCCUACGGGAGGCAGCAUG
rnacentral:rRNA from 1 species